rnacentral:rRNA from 1 species
UACGUAGGGGGCAAGCGUUGUCCGGAAUUAUUGGGCGUAAAGAGCUCGUAGGCGGUUUGUUGCGUCGGCCGUGAAAACCUGCAGCUUAACUGUGGGCCUGCGGCCGAUACGGGCAGACUUGAGUUCGGUAGGGGAGACUGGAAUUCCUGGUGUAGCGGUGAAAUGCGCAGAUAUCAGGAGGAACACCGGUGGCGAAGGCGGGUCUCUGGGCCGAUACUGACGCUGAGGAGCGAAAGCCAGGGGAGCAAACGGG